UGGAGAGUUGGCAGAGCGGUAAUGCAGCGGACUCGAAAUCCGCCGAACCAAUGUUGAAUUGGUGCGCAGGUUCAAAUCCUGUACUCUCCU
rnacentral:tRNA from 1 species